rnacentral:rRNA from 1 species
CCUACGGGGGGCAGCAGUGGGGAAUAUUGCACAAUGGGGGAAACCCUGAUGCAGCGACGCCGCGUGAGCGAAGAAGUAUCUCGGUAUGUAAAGCUCUAUCAGCAGGGAAGAAAAUGACGGUACCUGACUAAGAAGCCCCGGCUAACUACGUGCCAGCAGCCGCGGUAAUACGUAGGGGGCAAGCGUUAUCCGGAUUUACUGGGUGUAAAGGGAGCGCAGGCGGCGCGGUAAGUCUGAUGUGAAAGCCCGGGGCUCAACCCCGGGACUGCUCUUGGAACUGCGUGGCUAGAGUGCAGGAGGGGCAG